GUCGAGUUGCGUUGUUGAGAGUAGAGUUGUUAGCGUUGCGGAGUUGCGUGAGUAACAUUGAAAUUUGUUAUGGAUAUCUCGCUGAUCGGGUCGGAUUGAACUAACUACGGCAUAACUAAAGGUACUGUCGUUGUUAGUAUGUUUAUUUAUUAUUAUGUCAAUAAUUUUAUUACAGUAAUGGGAUGUUUGAUUUGUAAAUAUUAUAGAAAUGCUAAAGGCAAAAUACAAAAAGUUUAAAAUUACGAACAUAGUGCACAGUUAAAAUGUUCUGCAGUAGUAAUCGUUAAUUAUGUGGAAGUAAUAAUUAAGAAAUUUAUUUCAUUCGAUACUUAAGACCAAAUAGCAAUACUUCUUAAAUUAUUGUCAUGAUAUCGAAUAUAAAAUUACCAACUAAAUUUAUUAAAUUAACUCAAUUACCAACUAAAAUUAUAGUAAAAUAAAUAUAGAUAAUAAUAAUAGAGAAAUAUAGAGAGAAAAAAUAUAUGUAAUUAAAAAAGUUAGUAGCAUCUCCAAAAUAUUUUACCGUGAAAAAUCUAUUCCACUGUAUGACUCGUUAUAAUGAUUUGCUAUAAUGAUCGUUCUAGAGAGGACGUUCGUCUAUUUGUAUCGACCGAUAGUAUAGACAUAGCAAAGCAAAACAACGUUGGCACUCCAAGGCACAACAACACGAGUCCCUGCCGACUUUUCAAUGACUCAUGUGCCGCUACAGAGUUAAUAUCAAUAAGAUAAUUAUUAUACUAAUAAUGCUUCGUUAUAUAUCGCGUUAUUGCUUACAUAUUCUUUGGUAGAAGUUAAUAUUUCGUAGGUAUUUGAAACAUCAAAAGCGCCACAGCGUAAUAUAAUCUAUUUAAUUACUUAUUUAUUCGAAAUAUAUUUGACAGACUGCGACAGUAAUUA